UAACAUGCAAAUUCUUCCGGAAUGGAACCUGCUGGCAUGGAGAAACAGGGGAAGGAUGCAGGUUCGCUCAUCCCAGGCCCUAUGGAAAUUGCAUCAAACCCACUCGACCAAAAUGCCUUAACCAAAACCAAGACCGAAACCAAAACCAGAACAAAUUCAAGCUGCCCCAGAAAUAUGCAGACAUAGUGCGGAAUGCCCCAACAAGGAGAAGGCGCACAUUUGCAGAGGAAAUGCAGACGGCGGCAGCAGAACAAAGAAAUUUUGUGGAAAUAGCAGAGAAAAUUGUGGGACAACUGACCUGGAUACAUCGUCUUCAGAGCCAGGGGCACUCACAACAGCACUCAAGACCACCACAAUCAAGGGACCCAGGGUGGCCACCGCUGACACCAGCCCAGGUGCCACACCGACAGCCUUUAUUGACACCCCAAAUAUCUCACCAGUGCUUCUGCUGAAUGUCAGAGGUCUGGUGAAACCCACUAAUAUGAGUAAAAUUCCUUACCUUAGGGACUUAAGCACAAGCAACCAUGCAAUAUGCAUAGCGCUGACUGAAACGCACCUGUCAAGCAGUAUAGCAGAUGCAGAAAUACACGUACCAAAGUAUACUGUUUUUCGGUCAGACAGGAAGGAAAGAACUCAUGGUGGGGUUGCCCUGUACGUCCGUGAAGAUGUCACACCCAUAGUACUGUUGACACACUCAAACUCAGUCUGUGACACACUGAUAGUACACAUGAAACAACCGAAAAUAGUAAUAUGUGUCACAUAUCGGCCACCAGACACCCCUAGUCAUGAAGGAGUGUUUGAAGAUAGCCUCAGAAGAAUAGAAGAAGUCCUGGACAAACUGGACCAGGGUAACACCAUUCUACUGCUGGGAGAUUUUAACCUUCCGAAAGUCAAAUGGCCAGAUGGCCAUCUCCUCCCUGGAAUGACAUCACUUGAACAGAGACAGACAGAGUCCUUGUUGGCUCUCACACGCAAGUUUUUCAUGGAACAAGCAGUGCUUCGGCCAACAAGAGGUGAGAAUGUCUUGGACCUCUGUUUCACAAGCAACCCGAUGCUCAUCCACAACAUAAUGGUAACACCUACAAUUCUCUCAGAUCACAACUUAGUAGAGGUAAUGAUAUAUGGUAUGAGAGAGUUAGUUGAGACGCAGCCAUUAGAAAAUACCACAGGCCUAUCCAGUCUAAACUUCCAUAAGGCAAACUGGAAGAAGAUCAACGAAGAGAUCCGAAAACAUGACUGGAGUGACUUCAUCACCACACAAGAGACCAACACACAUUUCCAACAUUUCAUGACAACAAUACAGAACAUAUGCCAUAAGUUUGUCCCGGAGAAAAAAGCCAGCGGGCAUAGGAACGUUAUUCCCAGAGACAGGAAAAUACUUAUGAGGCGAAGAGCUAAGCUCUCGAAGCAACUGAAUGCACGGCAGAGAAACAAUAAGGGACUCCACCUGAAACUUUUUGAAACGGAAACUGCACUCAAACUUUCCUAUGAGAAGGAGAGGGCAGAGAGAGAAGCCAGGGCCAUAGAGAAUAUUAAAACAAACCCUAAAGCUUUCUUUAAAUUUGCGAAAGAAACCACCUCGGUACACUGCAAGAUUGGCCCACUCUUUGAUAAAAAGGGCUCUCUAACUGAGGACCCCCAAGGGAUAAGUGAAAUACUAAAGGAACAGUAUAAAAGUGUGUUCACAUCCCCUCUGGGGCACAUGCAAAUCACAAACCCAGAAGUUUUCUUUGAUGCCACAACACUCCAAAACCAAACAACAACCAUCGACCACAUAGACAUAACAGAGAGGGAUGUAAUAUCUGCCAUAGAAGAAAUGAGAAUAAACUCAGCUGCUGGACCAGAUGGAUUCCCAGCAGUCCUCCUAAAAACAUGCAGGCAUGCCCUAGCGGGACCACUGAAGAUGCUCUUCAGUGGUUCCUUGGCUAACGGUAAACUGCCCAGGGCGCUAAAAGAAGGCACCAUAUGCCCUAUCCACAAAGGAGGGAGUAGAGCAGAGGCAAAAAACUACAGGCCAGUCUCCCUGACGUCACACAUAAGUAAGGUCAUGGAACGAAUCAUCAGAAAAAAACUGAUCACGUUCCUCGAAGAAACUAACCGUCUCACUGACACACAGCAUGGCUUUCGCCCAGGAAGAAGCUGCCUUACGCAGCUGUUACAACACUACGACUGGGUACUGAAACAACUACUGGAUCGCUCACAGGUGGAUGUGGUAUAUCUCGACUUUGCGAAGGCCUUUGACAAAGUCGACCACGGAGUGAUAUGUCACAAAUUACUCAGACUCGGCAUAACAGGAAAAGUAGGUGAGUGGAUACAUGACUUCCUGAAGGACAGAAGCCAGAUGGUUGCAGCCAAUGGAGCCCUCUCGGGAAAGACACCAAUAGCAAGCGGGGUGCCACAGGGCACAGUCUUGGGACCCUUGCUGUUUUUGGUGGCGCUCUCUGACAUGCCCUUGGUAGCACAAACAACAUCCCUCACUAGCUAUGCUGAUGACACAAAG
rnacentral:lncRNA from 1 species